rnacentral:lncRNA from 1 species
ACCUCCCCCACAGUUUUCUCCUCAGUUUCCUCCUGGCCAGCCUCCACCAGCAGGAUAUAGUGUCCCUCCUCCAGGGUUCCCGCCAGCUCCUGCCAAUAUAUCAACACCUUGGGUAUCAUCAGGAGUGCAGACUGCCCAUUCAAAUACCAUCCCUACAACACAAGCACCUCCUUUGUCCAGGGAAGAAUUCUAUAGAGAGCAGCGACGACUAAAGGAAGAGUCUAAAUCUCCCUAUAGUGGGUCAUCGUAUUCAAGAAGUUCAUACACUUACUCAAAGUCAAGGUCUGGCUCAACACGUUCACGCUCUUACUCUCGGUCCUUCAGCCGCUCACACUCUCGCUCCUAUUCACGGUCACCCCCAUACCCCAGGAGAGGCAGAGGCAAGAGCCGCAAUUACCGUUCACGGUCCAGAUCUCAUGGAUACCAUCGAUCUAGGUCAAGGUCACCUCCCUAUAGACGAUACCACUCACGGUCGAGAUCUCCUCAAGCAUUUAGGGGACAGUCUCCCACUAAACGCAAUGUACCU